AAUUAAAGGCCAGUAUGAAUGGACACACAAGAAUAAAGCUGUCUCGUUUAGAAUUCCUAUAAUCUGUACGAUAGGUGAAAAUUCCUAUAUAACAAUAAAAGACAAGAAGACCCUAUAGAGCUUCAUCUAUAGCAGCUAAAUACUUAAUUAUAGAAUUAAUUGGGACAAUUAAAAAACAUUUAUACCUUUUUGCCAAUCCACACAAACCCUUUAAUGUAAAUGAACAUAGCUACCUUAGGGAUAACAGGCUAAUUUUGCUAGAGAGAUCACAUUGACAGCAAAGAUUGGCACCUCGAUGUUGGCUUAGGAA
rnacentral:rRNA from 1 species